rnacentral:lncRNA from 10 species
UACUGAAUUUGUACUCACUGUUCCUCUGCAGGAAUGGAUUUUCUUCUGUGUAUUGCUGACACGAACAGGAGACGGAAAUACUGAGUAGAAGAGGGCGGUUCCCUGGCUAAGGCCCCACCCUCAAGCCUGGAUACCCGCGGCCCUAAAUGAGAAGAGGCGUUUCUGUUUGGGGCCCAAAAAGUUGCUUUUUGACCCACCACGCCCCCUAUCCUGCCCCCAUAUAAACCCCAAACCCCAACCUCCAGAGCAUACCAGCAGGUGAGGAGAUACGAGGCAAGCCGACUGACGGCAAAACGACGUAGCAGAGAAAGAGAGAAGAGGAGGGACGUCUGGACACCGAGAGAUGUUUGGCUCGGGGCAGUCAGAGCGGAGUCCAGCCCCUGGGCGGCCCAACUCCAGGGGAAGAUCACCUUCCCACUUCAUCCAUCCCCACCCUUCCAGCUCCCCAUCCAUCCUGCUGAAAGCCAUUUCCACCACUCAAUAAAACCUCGCAUUCAUCCUUCAAGUCCGUGUGUGACCCGAUUUUUCCUGGAUUCUGGAAAAGAGCUCGGAAUACAGAAAGCUGUCCCCUGGUCCUUUGCCCUUGUGAAAAAGCAGAAGGUCCAUUGAGCUGGUUAACACUCCAGCUGUCUGUGGUGGCCAAGCUGAAAGAGCUUUGUAACACUGGGGUUGCAGGCACCCACCUCUAGACGCUACCGCAGAGCCAGAGCCCAAAGCCCUCACCCCGGCCUCUGCACUUGCCCAUCUGCGUGCUCCCCCUCUCGCAAGGGGUUUCUGCAGAGGGGGCUACUGAACAGGUGAGCCACACCCCUGUCGCACGCCCUGCAAGGGGAAUCAGGGAACUCUUCCGUUUCAUUGCUUUGACCACAUCCUAUAAAUCUUGUUCUCCUUGUCUUUCAGCUCCAAUUUGUUUAUACAUUCAGUUUUUACUUUUGACUUUAC